UAGACAUUGAGAUGGAUUGGGGUCAGGC
rnacentral:piRNA from 1 species